GGGGAUGUACCUCAGUGGUAGAGGUUGUGCUUUGCAUGUAUGAGGUUCUGGGUUCAAUCCCCAGCGUCUCCA